rnacentral:rRNA from 1 species
UACGAAGGGGGCUAGCGUUGUUCGGAAUCACUGGGCGUAAAGGGCGCGUAGGCGGCUGUUCAAGUCGGGGGUGAAAUCCCGUGGCUCAACCACGGAAUGGCCUUCGAUACUGGACGGCUCGAGACCGGAAGAGGUGAGUGGAACUGCGAGUGUAGAGGUGAAAUUCAUAGAUAUUCGCAAGAACACCAGUGGCGAAGGCGGCUCACUGGUCCGGUUCUGACGCUGAGGCACGAAAGCGUGGGGAGCAAACAGG